GACCAAUGUAAAAUGAGAUCAUUCAAGUUCUUUAGAAACUUAAAAAAAAAACAGGGUUAAGUGCUAAACCACUUGAUGAAUCUUUAUUUUAAAAUAGUUAAAUACUAGAUUUAAAAUAUAAAUAAUGCAAAACAAAACGUGAAUAACCACAUAAUGUCGAAAAAUGUAUUGCACUAAAAAACAUUUUAUGGAAAUGUUAAAAGAAAUAAUGCAUUUGUUUUGUGUGAAGUGAUGGGAGAGGAUUUAUUUAUUUUUGUAUCGUAUUCAGUCGUGGGCUGUCGACUGAUUCAUUCUUCCCAGUGAGAUUUCUUAAGGGCGAGCAGACAGGUUUGGAUGGGAGCGUGUGUGAUAGCAGGAGCUGGCUAAAGCACGUCCAGAUCUCUCCAUCCACCCACCAACACAACCUCACAGCCUGCCAGAUACAUGAGCAGUGCCGAACGAAGGAUCUAAUGGACCUGUUUAUCAGGACAUCAGUGGACUAACAUCCGUUUCUCAUAGACACUUACACAAUAGAGCCGAGCUAUGUGAGUGUAUGUGUGUGCGGUGCUUGUAUAUGAAGUGACCUCUCUUACUUGGAGAGGAAGGUCUUAGACUGUUUGCUUCAGUAAUUGCAGAAGUCAAGGUAACGAUUAUCUAGUGCACUUCUCAGUGCCCUCAAAGUCAAGUGCAAGUGCCUGUGUAUCUUAAAGUCUUGGAAAGAUAAGUCAUAAUGAUAAACGUUUGAUUUGUCUUCUGUGGUUUAGUAUGGGUCCGAAUUGGCAAGGAUCAUAUUAAUUCUCCAUUUACACUGAGGUCUUGGUCAAUGUGUUAUUAUAAGCCACUGAAAGUUAAUAAGUUUACAACCUCCACUUAUCAAUUAACCUGAAACGAGUACAGACUAACCAAAACCCCAUCACCUAAGAAAAAAAAAAUAGGAUUAAAAUUUUAAGUUUUUUUCUUCCAAGGUGUGUGUAUUUUUUUAUUUGCUGUUAGUAUAUUUACUGUUUAUUUUUUAUAUUACAUUUUAUUACAUUGUAUUACAUAUUUAAUUUUUUUUGUAUUUGUAUAUAUGUAUUUAUAUGCAUAUACUUAAUUUCAUUUUACCUUUGGGAACAACCAGGGAGUGAGUGAGUGAGCAAGUAUUAUUUAUUUUAUUUUGUUUUGUUUUAUUUUAUUUUAAACUCUGCUAUUAUUUUUAUUUUAUGUUUUUACUUUUGGGAACGUCCAAGGAUUUAUGUAUUUAGUUAGUAGUUAUAGUAGAUUUACUAUAUAUUA
rnacentral:lncRNA from 1 species